rnacentral:ncRNA from 1 species
ACGCGGGAGCCCGGGCGCACCGGGCUGAGAGGGAGGCUGAGACGGCCUCCGACCGUCCGAACCUGAUCCGGGUCAUUCCGGCGAAGGGAGCAGCGGCAAACCCAUG